GCUGAUGUAGCUCAGUCGGUAGAGCGUCGCCUUGGUAAGGCGGAGGUCUCGAGUUCAAGUCUCGUCAUCAGCU
rfam:Eubacterium hallii CAG:12 genomic scaffold, scf263